rnacentral:rRNA from 1 species
CCUACGGGAGGCAGCAGUGAGGAAUAUUGGUCAAUGGUCGGGAGACUGAACCAGCCAAGCCGCGUGAGGGAGGAAGGUACAGAGUAUCGUAAACCUCUUUUGUCAGGGAACAAAGGCGGGGACGUGUCCCCGGAUGAGUGUACCUGAAGAAAAAGCAUCGGCUAACUCCGUGCCAGCAGCCGCGGUAAGACGGAGGAUGCGAGCGUUAGCCGGAUUUAUUGGGUUAAAAGGGUGCGCAGGCGGUCUGUUAAGUCAGCGGUAAAAGCCCGGGGCCCAACCCGGGCCCGCCGUUGAAACUGGCAGUCUCGAGUUGGAGAGAAGUAUGCGGAAUGCGCGGUGUAGCGGUGAAAUGCAUAGAUAUCGCGCAGAACUCCGAUUGCGAAGGCAGCAUGCCGGCUCCACACUGACGCUGAGGCACGAAAGCGUGGGUAUCGAACAGGAUUAGAUACCCCUGUAGUC